GGCAUUCAGUCCAUAACACUAACCUAUCUCUUUCUGCCUAUGGCCAACUUAGAAGAACUCAUAUGAACAUGCUAUUAUAAAAGAAUUUACUAUGCUCAUCAACAGGAGAUAGAUUCUAAUGCUCCUUCAUUCCUGCUUUGGGCAAUGUGGGGACUCAGAGAAGUCGAGUGACCUAGAUUUCAUCUCACUUGUCAUCUCCCAUCAAUGACUUGUGGAUCGCUGGGGCACUGCGCUGUGAGCCCAGCUGCAGGGUCGUAGUCUCUUGUGAUGUCUGCCAGGACUGUGGGCGCAUAGUGGCAUACACUGAUCAUGAACAUAAAGGAUUCUGACAUGAAUAACGAAACCAUUACCCUCGUUUGUUCACCCAAUGUGAUUGUUGUUUAUAUCAGCAAAAACAGAAAUGGAGUUGGUGCCCAAGAACUUCAGUUCUCACCUUCCUACCAGCGGCCUUUGUGCUGUGAGAGUGCAAAUGUGCCCAGCCGGGAGGAAAGAGCGCUCAGCUCCAGGAGCAAGGUACCAGAGACCAGAGACGACGGAAUGACAUCUAGCAAAGGCCACUGGAAGCGUUUGAAUUGUCCCAGGAAUGUGACAGAC
rnacentral:lncRNA from 9 species